CCUGGGGAAAGAGGCAUUUGUUAGACUAAGUCAGCAGAAGGACAAGGAACUCUAGAACACAGUUGCAUCAUGUAGCUCUUUCAGAAGAACCAGCUCUAAAUUAACAGGCUGCAGGUAUAACACAGUUAAGAGGCUGUUACACAGAUGUUUUCCAAACCAGACUGCUAAAACAAGAAAACCCAACCUAUUAAUGAUGAAGAAAGAGGACUGAUAGUACACACUAUCCACAUUAGAAGUACCUCUAGGAACAAGGACCGGUGCUGGUUGACAAUCAUCCAAUAGCAGGGGGGAGUCCAACAACACCAGAGAUUGCGAACUCUACUAACAAGUGGUGUGUACAGAACCUCAACCAAAAUGGUAGAUGUAAUCCUUACCACAUCUUCCAGUUGCUUCCCCCAAUUUACCAGCAUCUCAUCAAUUUUAUCUGGAUUGAGCUUCAUCAAGAGAGUCCUCAUCUAAAGCACAAUCUCUAUCAAACAAAUAUACAUCUUAUUCUAUAAACAGAUGGUGAGGCUCAUUCAUUUGAGGCCCAACACUUCUCUUGGCUUAACAGCAAGCAAG